rnacentral:rRNA from 1 species
AGUGAACGCUGGCGGUAGGCCUAACACAUGCAAGUCGAACGGCAGCACAGUAAGAGCUUGCUCUUACGGGUGGCGAGUGGCGGACGGGUGAGGAAUACAUCGGAAUCUACUUUUUCGUGGGGGAUAACGUAGGGAAACUUACGCUAAUACCGCAUACGACCUACGGGUGAAAGCAGGGGAUCUUCGGACCUUGCGCGAUUGAAUGAGCCGAUGUCGGAUUAGCUAGUUGGCGGGGUAAAGGCCCACCAAGGCGACGAUCCGUAGCUGGUCUGAGAGGAUGAUCAGCCACACUGGAACUGAGACACGGUCCAGACUCCUACGGGAGGCAGCGGUGGGGAAUAUUGGACAAUGGGCGCAAGCCUGAUCCAGCCAUACCGCGUGGGUGAAGAAGGCCUUCGGGUUGUAAAGCCCUUUUGUUGGGAAAGAAAAGCAGCAGGUUAAUACCCCGCCGUUCUGACGGUACCCAAAGAAUAAGCACCGGCUAACUUCGUG